rnacentral:rRNA from 1 species
UACGAAGGGCGCUAGCGUUGUUCGGAAUCAUUGGGCGUAAAGCGUACGUAGGCGGCAUGAUAAGUCAGCUGUGAAAGCCCAGGGCUCAACCUUGGAAUUGCAGUUGAAACUAUCAAGCUAGAGUAUGGCGGGGGAUAGUGGAAUUCUUAGUGUAGGGGUGAAAUCCGUAGAUAUUAAGAGGAACACCAGUGGCGAAAGCGACUAUCUACACCAUCACUGACGCUCAGGUACGAAAGCGUGGGGAGCAAACAGG